rnacentral:rRNA from 1 species
UACAGAGGGUGCAAGCGUUGUUCGGAAUCAUUGGGCGUAAAGAGCUUGUAGGCGGUUUGUCGCGUCUGCUGUGAAAUUUCGGGGCUCAACCCCGAACUUGCAGUGGGUACGGGCAGACUAGAGUGUGGUAGGGGAGACUGGAAUUCCUGGUGUAGCGGUGGAAUGCGCAGAUAUCAGGAGGAACACCGAUGGCGAAGGCAGCUCGCUGGGACGGUACUGACGCUGAGGUGCGAAAGCGUGGGGAGCAAACAGG